GCCAGUGCACGCCGAAGGAGAUGACGCUAAUCGGCACUAAUUGAGUAGCAGCUGUUUUCCGUGCCGCUUGUUGACGUCUUGUCGACGCUGAUCGCUCGCCACUCGGCUAAACCACACACACACACAUACAUAUAUAUAUAUAUAAUAUGUAAUAUAUAUAUAUAUGUAUAUCGCGACUUCAUUCACAGCACACGAACAGCGACUCAGAAGAACCUUUUUUUUUGUUCCUCUGUUAGAAUUCAAGCUGAAGUUGCGGUGAAGCAUCCACAGACCUCUUCGCCUAGCACGAGAGGAGGCAAGCCCCCCCCCCACACACACACACGCACACCACACCACACCACCACCACUUUCUUUUCCCCUUUCAGUCACCGAACAGCGUCCGACUUCUCUCUAUCUUUCUCUCACACACUGUUUUGUUUCGACGUUGGUGGCCGUAUCAGACCUCCUCUCCUUCUCUCUUCGAGUUUAGAGUUAUCAUAGAUUCACGUUCCUCAUUUUUGCGCGUUCUCUUUUUGUUUGGCGUUUCCUUGCGUUAUCUGCCUGCCUCAAGGAGUGCUAACAGGCACACGUUCUCGUACGUACUCCUUAGACCUUUGUCUUUUGGUUUUCUCUUGCUCACCGUGCUCGCGUCCCUGAAGGUACAGCGGCGGCUUUUUCGCAAAGAGAUUCGGAACAAUUCGGCUGAUUCGCCGUGCACAACGCAUCCUACUGUGAAGAGCAUAUUCGGUUUUCGUGCUGAUGUGGUAGGGUUGUUCUCUGGCUUCGAUCUCGUCCUGUGUGUGCACGUGUGUUGCCGCUCUCCACUGUAGGCAGGCUCUCUUUCUCUCUGUGUGUGUCUGCUUCUGCGCGUGGUCCUUCCUCUUACAGAAUUGCCAUCACUGUUCAAGUCCCUCUCUGUUGCUGGCGUUUUGUGCUUCGCUGGAGUUGAUUGACGCUUCCCGGUGUACAUCCAGGCAUUCAGCGAAGCGUCGCCACUCGCGGCCCCUCGAGAAAUGGAGGAAUACAACAUUAAGCGGAAGAUCGGCGAUGGCGCCCAAGGUGUCGUGUACGAGGUGGAGCACCGCACCUCGAAGACGAGCUAUGCAAUGAAGGUGAUCUGCUGCACCGACCAGGAGCAGGUAAACAUGGCGCUGAAGGAGAUCAAGGUGCUGCUGCAGCUGCGUCACCCCAGCAUCGUCUCUUACGUUGACUUCUUCCUCGUCUUCAACAGUGUCAAGCUCCGCCGCGAGUUCGCCGCACAGAGCGAAGGCGCGUGUGGCAGCGGAGGAUGUGGUGACGGUCAGCAGCGUGAGACGAGGGUGCAGCGAGAGCAGGACAGCCUCUUCCUUUGCAGCCUGUCGAACAGCGAGUUCCACCAUGGCUGCGCCGCCGACAGCGGAUGGAAACAGGCGACUGCGGAAGCCUCUUCGAACGCCCCGACGGGAAAGCCGCAGAGCGGCGCCGCCCGCGUUGUUCCGACCUCGCUGCUCAGCAAGCACCGACAACAGGCAGGAGCGCACUGGCUCGGCGAGGAGGAGAUCGCUGUGUGUCUCGUGAUGGAGCUCUGCAGCAACGGUGACAUGCAAGGGCUCGUGCGGGAGGCGCGGCAGGAGUUCAUGAAGACGGGUAGCCACAGCAUCACAGAGGCGCAGGCGGUGUCGUGGCUCGAGCAGGCUGCUGCGGCGCUGCAGUUCAUUCAUGAUAAGGGCUUUUUGCAUCGCGACCUGAAGCCGACGAACAUCUUCUUCGACGAGUACAAGAACAUCAAGAUCGGUGACUUUGGCCUGGCGGCGACGGUCGGGCUUGGCCGAAACUCGGCGGUUGGGACACCCUACUACCUAGCGCCGGAGCGCAUGCUGCAGCAGCGCUACGACGGCAAGGUGGACAUCUGGGGUCUCGGCGUCGUCUUGCUCGAGCUCCUGACGCUGCGCGAACAGCCGAUCAACAGCAUGUUGCUAGAGAACCCGAAAGUAGUGGACACGGUGAUUCCGCAAAUCACCAAAAUGGGCUACUCCACCAAGCUGGCUGCUUUGCUGCGGGACAUGCUGCAGCGCCAGCCGCAAGGCCGCCCCACCCCGUCCUCUAUUUUGCACCGCUUGGCGAGCAUCACCGCCACCUCGCCGCACCCCGGCAUGUCCGCGACGCUCUUCGCUGGGAUGAGCUGUCCGAAACUAACAGAGGCGCUCUGCGACGUCUGCGAAGUCGAAGUCGCCGGCGUUAUGUGCUCGAGCUGCAAGGCUGCCUUCUGCGCCGGAUGUGAUCGUGCCCGUCACAGGCACCACUCGCGCCAAAGCCACGAUCGCACAAACAUGUCGUCUAUUGUGAACAGCAUGAACGGCGCCUCCUCCUUGCCUCUGUCGGCGACGCCGAUGCAGCAGCAGCAGCAGCAGAAAACGCUGUCCUUUUCGCGGGGGCCCUCGCCGGCGAACACCUCAGACCAGACGCGGGCGAGCAUGCAGAACAUCGUCGUCUUUCCGUCCAGCAGCACCAGUAACUCCCGCACGCUGCCGCGCGAGCGCGAGAUGAACAGCAGGACAUUCACCCGUUUUCAGCUGGCGCUGCCGGGGUGUAGCGUAUCCAUGUCUGAGUACUCCAUGGCACAGGGGUUUCAGGGGCGCCGCGACGGGUCUGGCAUCAACGCGGCCGUAGCAGAGACGGUGCUGCGUGUCCCGGAUGAUGUGCCGAGCCUCGCCCAGGCGUUACAGGUGGUUGAGAGCAUGCCACACAUUCGCAAAAUCCUCGUCGCCGGUAACACCACGCACACAGUGCCGCUUGUCCUUACAUCACGACUGCCGGACAGCAUCAAACUUGUAGGUGAGUCGCCGCCACCGAUGCUGGAGGUGGCGGACAGCCCAUUUGCUUUGCACUGCCAGUCUGGCAGGGGUAGUGUGGAGAACUUCAUCCUCCGCCAUGUCGGACGCUUCCGCUCCAAGCUGCUCAAGCUGGACACAAAUCUCCACCAGGCAGACGCAAACGCAAUGGCAUCGGCGCCUGCAAGAAAGCCGUCGCGGCCGACCGCCGUGUCCAUCACGGGAGGCGAGUGGAGGCUGCACAAGUGUCGCAUCUCGUGCGUCGAGGGAAGUGGUGUGACGGUGGGCGGGGGCAAGCAUACCUCCUCCUCUUCCACCAACGGACAGAACACCUCCGCGACUGGCACGCGGUCGUCACGCCCGCCGCCAUCUCCGAGCUUGGUCGCUCGUUCAAGCCUGGUGAACGGCGUCGAGGAGGGUGCACAGGACGCUGACGUCUUAUCCAUGGAGCCGAUCAUAACCAAGUGCAGCUUCAUCGACGUCACCGCCGCCGGCAUCGUCCUCAUGGAGAAGUCGCGAGGCCUCUACGAAGGCAACACGUUCUCUGGCUGCGGUUUUGCCGCUUUUCUGCUCCGAAAGGAUGCGACGCCGCGCAUUCGCGCCAACCACAUCACCGACGGUGCCGAGGCAGGUAUCUUUUGCCAAGAUGCCUCGGGGUUGAUGGAGUACAACGUGAUUGCGCAGAACGCGGGCUGCGGCAUCGUCGUUAAGGGGGCGUCCGCGGUGCCGGUUAUUCGCAAGAAUCGCGUUCUGUCCAACGUGCAGGCUGGUGUUUUCUGCUGCGACAAGGCCGCGCCGUUUGUCUCCGAUAACGAGAUUCGCCAGAAUGGCAAGGCCGGCGUGUUGGUGAAGACGACCGCCGCACCGAAGAUCACCCGCAACGUCAUUGAGAGCGGCAAGGAGGCUGGCAUUUACAUCUUUGAGAAGGGUGCCGGCAUUAUCGAGGAGAACCGUAUCCGCGGCAACCAGAACGCCGGCCUCCUUGUCACCACCGGCGGCAAUCCGCACGUCAUCCAUAACACCAUCAGCAAGAACGCGUACGAGGGCAUCUGGGUGUGCAAGCACGGCGGUGGCACCUUCUGCGACAACGAUUUGCGCGGAAACACCAAAGGGGCCAAGGACAUCGAGGCGGACAGCCGCGUCACAUGGGUGGGUAAUGUCGAGCAGUAACAGUUCACGUUCCACCAUGGAUGUCGGCGAAAGAAGUGGAUCAGAGCACUUGUUUGUUGCUAAUGCUGUUCUUGCUCCCGCCCCGUUUCGUGUUUCAGCUGUAUCGCGGACGGCAAGACGUGCUGUCGAGCCAUCCCUCCCCGUGCUUUCACGAGCCCACUUAUUGUUGCCUUUCUCUUUCGGUGUGGGCUGUCUCUAGAUUUACUUUCCUGCUUCUCUCUUCGGAUGCAACUCUCAGCAUUCGUGUGUGAGGCGUGGCACAGAAGUACUGCCAUUUUAGGUGGAGCGACUCUUUGCACUCAUACGCCCCGAGAUGGACAUACCACCUUGGUUUGUACGUAUGAUAAUGUCGAGGGUGCACAGUCCGUGCUCGAUAGCGCUGUUGCCGUCGCGGCCAUUGGUGAGACUUUUUUGUUUUCGGUGUCGUCCGCCACGGUCUUUUGACCUUCUUGUUGCUUGCGUUCUCUGACACACCACACACACCACACACACACCACACACACACCACAAUCUUCAUACAGAACCAAGCACGCACACUGAAGCAUCGCUGCUUGCCAGCGUCCGCUUUCUGUGCGCCUUGGACUCGUCUCCAUCGUUGCCUUUUUUGUUUGCUUGGGGGUUUUUCUUCACGUAUCUCCCGUACUGUCCUUGUUUCACCUUUAGAGCAGCUCCUCUCCACCACCACCACUCUCUCCUCCCUACAUCGUACGCGCACGUAUCUCACCAUGCGGCCCUCCCGCUAUCUUUUUUUUUUUCGCCCACUCACAGUGCCGCAGUAUUUCAUGUGCACAGCGCUGUGCUUAUGUGUGGAUCGUUGCCCCCUACCCUCUCCCCUCCAAACCACCACCACCACCCCUUUUUCUUUCUUUAAUAGAUGCCUCCGUGCUUUUCUUUUCGCCUUGGAGGAGGUACGCACAGUGCUUACGGUGCAGAGAGGCAGCGUGCCCACGGAGGCGGUCCUUUUCUUCUUGCUUGAUGCCCAGCGUGUGUGCACCACGUCUCUCUGUCUCUCUCUCUCUCGGCCAAUCCAAAAAACUGAAGCGCACUCGACACAAUCACGUUUUGGUGAGCGUCACGAACGCCUCCACGGCAGGUGGGACGCGGAAAAGAAAGGAAACGCAAAAGGGAUCGCCGAAACAUGGCAACAGAGGAGGAAUUCGGACGGAGUCGCCAGGCGGGGUGUGCCCAACAAAGGGAUAGAGUCAAAGAGCGGGCGGCGACAAGCGGAAUCUUGUGCCUGCUCCGUCUCUUGCUCUUGUCUGUGAGGCAGGCGGUGCCUGUGCCACGCGCUUCAUGUGGAACGGCUGUUCAUGUGCGUGUACGUAUGUUCAG
rnacentral:misc_RNA from 1 species